GCAGCCGUAGCAGACUGGUUACGGUGUUCGCUUUGUAAGCGAAUGAUCCUGGGUUCGAUUCCCAUCUGCUCCA
rnacentral:tRNA from 1 species